AUGCAACGCGAAGAACCUUACCAAGGCUUGACAUACUACAGAUUUCUUUGAAAGAGGAAAGUGCCUUCGGGAAUGUAGAUACAGGUGGUGCAUGGCUGUCGUCAGCUCGUGUCGUGAGAUGUUGGGUUAAGUCCCGCAACGAGCGCAACCCUUAUUUUUAGUUGCUAAUUUAUUUUAGGUUUUCUAGAAAGACUGCCGGUGACAAACCGGAGGAAGGCGGGGAUGACGUCAAGUCAGCAUGCCCCUUACACCCUGGGCUACACACGUGCUACAAUGGGCGAGACAAUGAGAUGCAACUCUGUGAAGACCAGCUAAUCUAUAAACUUACUCUAAGUUCGGAUUGCAGGCUGCAACUCGCCUGCAUGAAGUUGGAAUCGCUAGUAAUCGCUGGUCAGCUAUA
rnacentral:rRNA from 1 species